rnacentral:lncRNA from 10 species
AGAUGGGGACCCUGGGAAGUUAGCAGCAAUGGAGAAAAGCGUGGAAUGCUCUCCAGGUAUUAACACCACUGCCACCGCCACCCUGGCCAUGGAACACUGCACAGGGAGAAGGCAACAGAGCAAAACAAGCAUAUUGCAUUUCUCCAGCUGCUCCGGAAGUCCUUGGGACAGGAACCAUGUAAUCCCAUAGUGGCAGCAGUAACAACAAUGGCAACAGCAGCCUGGAGA